AACGCAUAUUGCGCUCGAGGCUUCGGCCGAGAGCAUGUCUGCCUCAGCGUCGGGUUAAUACUCGCUCCAAUUCUCAUUGGAACGGACCUGGCGGUCCCAGCCCUAACACGGCUGGGUCCGCUGAAGCACAGAGGUUGAUGUAGGACCCGUCAAGGGCCGCAACUGGGUAGGCAUUCGUGCUAAUUCUUAGUUGUUGGCUUGGGACUUGCUGUCGACCCACAACCAGGAAAACUUAACCCUAUUUUCUCGACCUGAGCUCAGGCAAGGUUACCCGCUGAACUUAA
rnacentral:misc_RNA from 1 species